CAAGGGAACGCUGAAAACCUUUAACAGAGUAAGCA
rfam:Mucilaginibacter pedocola strain TBZ30 scaffold3, whole genome shotgun sequence.